CUGAGGUAUUAAAAUACUUUUGAAGAAACAUUCUUCUCUUAAAUAGAGUUCCUUUGAAAGACUUAUUUUAAUUUCAAGAUGAAGAUUAAGCCUUGCUUAAAUAGUAACAGGGAAUUCUGGUGUGGAAAUUUUAUCUGUUUAUCUUGAGUUGGGAGUCAGUCUCCAGCACUUAUGAUUUCAAAGACCAUCUCAAAAGUAUAACCUCAUUAAAAUUGGUGCCUGCCUGCCUGCCUCAGUUUGCAGAUCUCAUGAGAGUCACUCUCUCCUAUUCAUUUUGAUGGUGAUGAUUCAGCCCUGGAUACCAGAGAUCAUUUUACUGUGCUCAUUUGGGCACACGAGGGCAGGACCUGCUCUGAACAAUGGCAGACACAGGGCAAGGCAGAAGGAGGAAGAGGAAGCAAUUAAGUCUGAUUUCAAGAAGGAAGUCUCCAGCUUCAAAAAAGCCAAGAAAUACCUUUGGUUCUUAGGAGAGAGAGAAUGAAAAAAACAUCUGAUGGUUUCUUUGUUAUUAGGAAACUGGCGCUCCCAGUUUCUGGUCCCCUGAAACACUUGACAGCGUAUUCUCCUCGCCCCAUUGUGGAUGGGGACCUGAGAGACCCCAGGAAUGGAUAGCCUUUCUUCCUCUGAGCAGAAACAUUGCCACUUUUCCUGAGAAUGACAACACUCAACUUUUUCACUACAGACAUUUCAAAGGUUCAAUAUUUGCCUGGAUUGAAGAAAGAACCUCCAGAAAUAACAAAAAAUAAUGGAUUUACUACUGCAGAUAAAGGAGAAAUAGCAAAGAUCGAGGAGCCUAGAAACUGGACUGGACUGAAUUUACCCUUUGUGUAAUUACACAAGACAUGAUUGACCAUGAUUGAUUUAAUGAAGCAAGGUCACAGAACAGUGCAUGGAAGAUUCAUUAACCUGCUUUUUCUUCAGAUGAAAAAUAAUCACAGUACCAAUCCACAGCUCUGAUUCCUUGUGCCAUAAAUUCAAAAUUGAAAUGGAAAAGAAAUGAGGAGGGCUGCCUAGAAUCAUAAGAUCAUACUUCAGGCUGGCAGUGAGCUCAGCAGAUAAUGCAGUAAAUACCACUGCCUCAGUGCAUUUCUCUUCCUAGUAGGGAAAGAGAAGGCUGGCAUUUCAUUGUGUCCAGGAAGCUAACAAAUACAAACCUUUGGACAGAUUAUAGGAAAAGUGCGAGUUUCACUACUGAAUAUCAUUAAAAAAUAUAUGUGUAAGGACCAGCAGCAGGACACAAGCCUUCAUUAGAUGAGAGCACUCUUCAGAGGCAAUUAGCUGUGUUCAUCUGUUUCCAAGAAAGAGAUGCACCUGGGAUUCAGUAUCUUUCUAGUGUGCACAGGAUAUGGGCUUGUUUCAGCAAGUGGACAGACAUUCCUUCCUACUCUGCCUGAAUAACCGAGCUCUUGUUAAACAGCAGCAGGUUUUCCAUUGUGAAAUGGAACUGAUUUGCAGCAUCCUGGAGGGCUGUACAAAUCUGCAGCAUUUUGCAUAUCUGACAAUUAAAAAUUAUCCAUGCAACAGAUAUAUUUUCAUUUAAAA